GUGGGGGAUAUUGCACAAUGGGGGAAACCCUGAUGCAGCGACGCCGCGUGGGCGAAGAAGUAUUUCGGUAUGUAAAGCCCUAUCAGCAGGGAAGAAGAAAUGACGGUACCUGAGUAAGAAGCACCGGCUAAAUACGUGCCAGCAGCCGCGGUAAUACGUAUGGUGCAAGCGUUAUCCGGAUUUACUGGGUGUAAAGGGAGCGCAGGCGGCACGGCAAGCCUGAUGUGAAAGCCCGCGGCCCAACCGCGGGACUGCAUUGGGAACUACCGGGCUGGAGUGCCGGAGAGGUAGGCGGAAUUCCUAGUGUAGCGGUGAAAUGCGUAGAUAUUAGGAGGAACACCAGUGGCGAAGGCGGCCUACUGGACGGUGACUGACGCUGAGGCUCGAAAGCGUGGGGAGCAAACAGG
rnacentral:rRNA from 1 species